rnacentral:rRNA from 1 species
UGAGGAAUCUUGCGCAAUGGGGGAAACCCUGACGCAGCAACGCCGCGUGGGUGAGGAAGGCCUUCGGGUCGUAAAGCUCUGUCAGAUGGGAAGAAAUGGGUGGGGGCUAAUAUCGUCCACCCUUGACGGUACCAUCAGAGGAAGCACCGGCUAACUCCGUGCCAGCAGCCGCGGUAAUACGGGGGGUGCAAGCGUUGUUCGGAAUCAUUGGGCGUAAAGCGCGCGCAGGCGGCUUGGUCAGUCAGAUGUGAAAGCCCUGGGCUUAACCCAGGAAGUGCAUUUGAUACUGCCUCGCUAGAGUACGGGAGAGGAAAGUGGAAUUCCUGGUGUAGAGGUAAAAUUCGUAGAUAUCAGGAGGAACACCGGUGGCGAAGGCGACUUUCUGGCCCGAUACUGACGCUCAGGCGCGAAAGCGUGGGGAGCAAACAG